CUGCAGGUUUCUACAGACAUUUUGAAUAUUUUGACAGGUGGAUGCAGAAACCUACAUGUCUUGCAGCCACCCAGGACACCCUUAGGCCAUGGGGAAUUGCUCCAAGGAGAUCUGGUCCUGGCGAGGAUUACAGAAUCCACUUUUAACAAGCACACCAGCACAUUCAUAAGCCAUCCUCUGCGACCCCCUGAAGCAGGCUCUGCGGCCUCUGCGGCCACCCCACGCUCACAAAGAAACCUCCUCUUCCUGCCUGAGCUUUGCUGUUGGUAGCACCUCCCUGAGGUCCUGUCUUCCAACAGUAAAGCAGGUUACAUAAUAAAGUUCAUACUCUUAGCAUGAAAAUCAAGGUUCUUCCUUAUCUGGCUUCAACCACCUGUCCUAUUGGAUUUUAACCUACAAAGACACAGUGCUGGGAAUGGUACAGCCUUCUUGCCAUCAUCAUAAUUGUGCUUGGAACUGCCUGAGAAGUGUCCAGCCUAUGUGCCUAUUAAAAAUAAACU